rnacentral:rRNA from 1 species
AGUGAACGCUGGCGGCGUGCUUAACACAUGCAAGUCGAACGAGAACGGGUCUAGCUUGCUAGACUGUCAGCUAAGUGGCGGACGGGUGAGUAAUGUAUAGUUAAUUUGCCUCUUGGAGAGGGAUAACAGUUGGAAACGACUGCUAAUACCUCAUACUCCUUCUGCCUUAAUGGUAGUUGGGAAAUGUUUUUUCGCCAAGAGAUAAGACUAUAUGGUAUCAGGUAGUUGGUGGGGUAAGAGCCUACCAAGCCUAUGACGCCUAGCUGGUCUGAGAGGAUGAUCAGCCACACUGGAACUGAGACACGGUCCAGACUCCUACGGGAGGCAGCAGUGGGGAAUAUUGCACAAUGGACGAAAGUCUGAUGCAGCAACGCCGCGUGGAG